AUUGAACGCUGGCGGCAGGCCUAACACAUGCAAGUCGAACGAGUGGCGGACGGGUGAGUAAAGUCUGGGAAACUGCCUGAUGGAGGGGGAUAACUACUGGAAACUGUAGCAAAUACCGCAUACCAUCAGAUGUGCCCAGAUGGGAUUAGCUGGUUUGUGGGGUAACGGCUCACCAGGGCGACGAUCCCUAGCUGGUCUGAGAGGAUGACCAGCCACACUGGAACGUAUACACGGUCCAGACUCCGACGGUAGGCAGCGGUGGGGAAUAUUGCACAAUGGGCGCAAGCCUGAUGCAGCCAUGCCGCGUGUAUGAAGAAGGCCUUCGGGUUGUAAAGUACUUGCAGCGGGGAGGCGUUACCCGCAGAAGAAGCACCGGCGAACUCCGUGCCAGCAGCCGCGGUAAUUC
rnacentral:rRNA from 1 species